rnacentral:sRNA from 1 species
AUUUCCUUUCCGCUCGGCUGUUAUCCUGCGCAGGAGGUGAGCGAGACUGGGUCCCGGCCUUUGGGCUUCAUCCAGCGCCAUCGGCCUGGCGCUGCAGCCAACGCGGGAAUGGAUGGGCCCCUUCUUCUUCGCAGACAGCGUUCGGCCGCGGCCCGGGCUCUAGGCGCGGCCGGACGGCCCAGUCUGGAGGGUUCGGGGCGGAGGCCCGGGGGGUGCGCGCGCCCGGGGCCCGGCCUCUCACUCGCUCCCCUCUCGUCCGCAGCCGCAGGGCCGUAGGCAGCCAUGGCGCCCAGCCGGAAUGGCAUGGUCUUGAAGCCCCACUUCCACAAGGACUGGCAGCGGCGCGUGGCCACGUGGUUCAACCAGCCGGCCCGGAAGAUCCGCAGGUGAGCCCUGCGCUCGGGGCUGCCCCUGGGGCUGGUGCCCGCGGCUGCGCCUUGGUUUGGGGGUGGCCGAUGCCAGGGCGGGGGGCGCUGUCUGCGACCGUCGCGGAGCUCUGGCCUGGCGGCCUUAGGCAAGGGUGACCGCCGCUGCGCUUCUCUCCACCAGACGCAAGGCCCGGCAAGCCAAGGCGCGCCGCAUCGCCCCGCGCCCCGCGUCGGGGCCCAUCCGGCCCAUCGUCCGCUGCCCCACGGUUCGGUACCACACGAAGGUGCGCGCCGGCCGCGGCUUCAGCCUGGAGGAGCUCAGGGUGAGUACUGGCAGCGCUGCGGUGUCAGGAAGGCCCCGAAGUCCCCUCUGUUGGCCUCAGUCGCGUGAUGACAUUCUCCGGAAUCGCUGUACGGCCUUGAUGAAAGCACAUUUGAACCCUUUUCCAUCUGAUUGCUGAGGCUUUUCAUCCAGGCCUCGGGGCUGGAGAAAGCCGGGGCCUGCCUCCAUCUCUGUCUGGUUCUGGGGCAGGUGGCCGGCAUUCACAAGAAGGUGGCCCGGACCAUCGGCAUUUCUGUGGAUCCGAGGAGGCGGAACAAGUCCACGGAGUCGCUGCAGGCCAACGUGCAGCGGCUGAAGGAGUACCGCUCCAAGCUCAUCCUCUUCCCCAGGAAGCCCUCGGCCCCCAAGAAGGGAGACAGUUCUGUGAGUACAGGGCUCUCUGGCCGUCCUGGCGCGCGGGGACAGGGAGGCUUGGUUCCUUUAUCAGUGACACCCGUCCCUGGGUCCUGCUGGGGUGAGAAGAACCAAAACACUGUGGCUGUUCUGAUCUGCAAAACGUGCCUGUCGUGCAGGAGUAGAUGAUGAGCUAAGCGGGACCGCUAAGGUUCCCCUGUGCUUUUCAGCAGGUAGUCAUGGCAAGGCUGUGUGAUUUGGAGCCAGCUUUUUCCAUUGACAUCAUUGCUCUCCCUAAAAUGCUUCAUAUUCCAAAAUAUUUCUAGAAAGACCUCGUAGGAUAAGGUUGAUGAAAAGUCCAGUGUAUAUGUUAGUCACCUAUAGAUAGUCACCUAACUAAUAAUGACUGGUCUUAACGCUGGGGCCACAAAGUAUGUUGUAGGGAAGGCUCAGAGACUGGUCCUGAAUACGGGAUCCCCAGGGGGCAGUUUGGGGCCAGGUGAGGGUGGAGUCCUUGCGGCAGUCCACUUAACUCUUCUCAUUCACCAACAGGCUGAAGAACUGAAACUGGCCACCCAGCUGACGGGACCAGUCAUGCCCAUCCGGAAUGUAAGUGGACACUUGGUCAAAUCCAGGCUUUAGACAAGAUCAGUGGGUGAACACGUGGGUAUCUGAGAUGGGGAUCAGGCUUAAAGUUAAUAGUGGUAAUUGUGGGUGUGGAGGUUUGCGGAAAAGAACAUUUCUUGUUAGUUUUUACUUCUUGCAACCACGAAGCCAUACAUUGGGAAGUGUUUUUGUUUGUUUUGUGUUUUUGUUUUGUUUUGUUUUUGUUUUUGGAAAGAUAAUUUCUCUACGCUGCUUACAUUGGUUUUGAAUUUCUGGGUUUACAGGCCUGAGCCACCAUGUCCAGCUCAGGGAGGGUUUUUCUUUUUUUUUUCUUUUUUUUUAAAUCCCAGGGAAGGUGAUUGACUCAGGGUUGCUUUUCAGCAGUGCUUAGGACAGCGAACCUGCCCCCCAACCCCCGGGAGGCCCUCCGGGUUCUGCUGACACUUAGUUGUUCCCUUGCCUGUUGGUGCAUGUGGGUUUAACAACGUGCCUUUCUCUUCUAGGUCUAUAAGAAGGAGAAAGCUCGAGUCAUCACUGAGGAGGAGAAGAAUUUCAAAGCCUUCGCUAGUCUCCGCAUGGCCCGUGCCAACGCCCGGCUCUUCGGCAUACGGGCAAAAAGAGCCAAGGAAGCUGCAGAACAGGAUGUUGAAAAGAAAAAAUAAA